UACGAAGGGGGCUAGCGUUGCUCGGAAUUACUGGGCGUAAAGGGCGCGUAGGCGGAUAGUUCAGUCGGGGGUGAAAGCCCGAGGCUCAACCUCGGAACUGCCUUCGAUACUGGCUAUCUUGAGUACGGGAGAGGUGUGUGGAACUCCGAGUGUAGAGGUGAAAUUCGUAGAUAUUCGGAAGAACACCAGUGGCGAAGGCGACACACUGGCCCGUUACUGACGCUGAGGCGCGAAAGCGUGGGGAGCAAACAGG
rnacentral:rRNA from 1 species